rnacentral:tRNA from 1 species
UCCCGUUUAGCUCAGUUGGUAGAGCAUGGUGUUUGCAACGCCAGGGUUGUGGGUUCGAUUCCCACGGGGGAC